UUUCAUUUUUUUUCUCUCCAUUGCAGAUUUAUCAACUGACCUUUCUGCUACUUUAAUUUUAAGAUUUUUUUUUUUUUUUUUUUUUUUUUUUUUUUUUUGCAGUUUUGAUUGAUUAUUAAACAUUUUUGUUCAUAUUUUUUUUAUUCUUCUGGCUGGUUUGUAAAAUUAGUUAUUGUUGAUUAUUAAAUAAAUUAUGAAACUAGCUAAGGCAUUGAUGGUUAUUAUUGUUUCAUAGUUAUUAUUUAAGCUUUUUUAGUAAAGAACAUGCCUAUCUAUAUACACGCAUAUACUACACAUAUACACAUAGCUGUGGAUAUGUUGUGUAUCCAGGGGCGUACCCACCCUAAGUCAAGGGUGGGCGGGCGCACCCCAUGAAAAAUUAUUUAGUGUUAUUUUUCGUCGGAAAUCCUGACCGCACUCUUUGGAAUUUUUCACUCGCACCCCUUGAAAAUUUCCAACCGCCUCACUUAAAAAAAAUAUAAUUAUUAACCACUUAUUCACUUAAUUAUUUAAUCCAAUCAAAGCACAAUCUACAAUCCAUUUUUAUUAACACAAACCCAAACCCAACCUAAAGAAAUUUGAACUAAAUAAAAUAACCCAAACCCAUCCACCCAUUCCAUUUCCAAAUCUCGCCCCCCAAAAAAACUCCUAGCGACCUGAUGCCACUGCUCACGACCUGGUGAUUUUUUUACCGUAAAAACCAAAAUUCCGGUUGGACCGACCCAUAUUACGUCAGAAUUCCAAUAUAGAACUAGUAUGGAGAAAAUACAGAUGUGUAAGGGUUUAAUCUUUUUAUAUUUUUUUGCUGUUCUAGACUUGUAGUUAAAUGAUUUUGUUGUUUUAUAUAUAGCUUUUUUGUUUAAAUGAUUAGUUACAAGUAAUCAACAUU
rnacentral:lncRNA from 1 species